rnacentral:lncRNA from 1 species
AUAAAUGAUAAAUUAAAAUAAAACUAACAUAAAUUAAUUAAACAACUACAAACAUUACAAUACAAUACUCUCACAACAUUAAGAGAAAAAACACAAUACAAAACAUUACAUUACAACAUUAAUUAAGAAACACUACAACAUUCAAACUAAUUAAAAACACAUAAAGUAGAGAGAAAACAUAACACAAGUCACUACUAACAACAACAUCCUAAUAAGCACUUCCAAUAUACCAAACAAGUCCAAAUGGGUCUCUUAUUUUGAAGAAUUGCUUUUCACCAAAGCUCACCGUCGACAAAAAUGUUCCACGGUUUGCAACACUUCGAUUGACGUAUGUUUGUGGAUCGCAGACAAACAAUAAGCUGAUACAACUGGAUCAUAAGAUGAAAACCAAAAAAAAAUAAAAAAUUAGUUAAAAGAACAAAAAAAACAAAGUCAAGUAAAUAAAAAACACUCACAAAAAUUAAAUUGAAAAAAAAAAAAUCAAUUAGAAAACUUACUUAGCCAUGGUGGGUUUCGUUGGUAUUUUUGAGCUAGAUGAAAAAUGAAACAAGUGAGUGAGAGAAGUGAAAAUAAAUCAAACAAUGUGUUGCUAUUUAAAGAGAGGAAGAAAAUUUUAAUUAAUAAAAAUGAGGUAUGAUUUUUU